CCGGUGCGCAGGCAACGGCUACUUCCACUUCUAAUGGACAGGUUGCGGGUUCGAGUCCCGCCCGGACCA
rnacentral:tRNA from 1 species